GUUGUUUCAUGUGUGCUGUUGUUUGUUUGUCUUUUUCAAUUUUAGCCAUGGUGUUGUCAGUUUGUUUUAGAUUGAUGAGUUUGACUGUCCCUUUGGUAUCUUUCGUCCCUCUUUUAUGUAAGCAUGGAAAUGAGCAUAGCACUUUUAGUUUAUAUGUCUUUUCGCUGUUGUCUUCUUAUAGGUGAUGUUUUUCCCUCGGUUUUAGAUUGUCACCAGGAUUUGUUUUCUCUCAAUCGAUUUAUGAUUUACGAACAGCGGUAUACUUCUGUUGCCUUUAUUUCUAAUCUAUACUAUUAAAC
rnacentral:lncRNA from 1 species